UUCUUAUCAAGAGAGGUGGAGGGAUUUGGCCCUAUGAAGCCUCAGCAACAGACUGCAAAGUACUGUGCUAAUUCCAAAAGCGUUCAAGCUUGAAGAUAAGAA
rfam:Planomicrobium sp. ES2 genome assembly, contig: CONTIG000001